rnacentral:rRNA from 1 species
UACAGAGGGGGCAAGCGUUGUUCGGAAUUACUGGGCGUAAAGAGCUCGUAGGCGGUUCGGCAAGUCACGUGUGAAAUCUCCACGCUCAACGUGGAGGCGCCACGUGAGACUGCUGUGACUCGAGUCCGGUAGGGGAGCGUGGAAUUCCCGGUGUAGCGGUGAAAUGCGCAGAGAUCGGGAGGAACACCCGUAGCGAAGGCGGCGCUCUGGGCCGGUACUGACGCUGAGGAGCGAAAGCGUGGGGAGCAAACAGG